AACCUGUAAAGGGAAGAUGACAUGAUAAUGAAAUUCAAUGGAAUAAAAGCCAGAAGUGAGGUGAGAAAUUCCAAAAGGCAAGCAGCACACACUUGGUAAUUUCUGGGGUGAUUAAUACUUCUAGAAAUGGAGUAACAAGUGGCCAAGCGGCAUUUCCAUCUUUGGGAAUGCUGAGACCAAGGAAAAUAAUUUCAGAGACUGAAGUAUAUACCAGUUCUCAGAAUGAGAUUCCUUGUUGAAAAACACUCUUUGUGGACCAAAGAAGCAAAGACAUUUUCACAAGUGCUAAAGCUAAUAAAUUGUGAAUUUUACUGUGCUAUAAACAAAAAUUGCCAGGUUUUAAGAUUAAUUCAGAGCUAAUUUUUACAAUGAAAAUUUAUCCCAAAUUAACACAGAAACAAAAAGCCCUAUUUCUGUAGAAACAGAUAAAAUUCUAACAUUUUAAAUUUUAUGCAAAAUUACCAAUCUUUCUGUUCACAUUAAUAUUUGUUGCUACACUCUUUUAAUUGUACUUUUUUCUGCCCAUUUCCAUAAGCCUAAUCCUUACCUUUGCAAAUUCUGGAGGUGGACUUUUCCCUCUACAGAGAUUAGACAAAGCCCAUACUGCAUUCCGUGUCAUGGUCAGGCGGUUUUGCUUUGAAAAUAACCUAUAAGCAUGAUGAUACAAUGAUUUCUAGAACACUCCUGUGAUGAAUCAUGGCUUGUCAUGGUGGUAAAACUGAGGCCCUGAAUGUAAGACCAAAGGAAAAAACGGUAUUCUUUGACCUGCUUUUCUUUGCUUCAUUUUUUUACCUGCUCCUGGACAUCUUCAAACUCUGAGCUGAGCAACUCUAUGAAGAUGGGCACAGCUCCUGCCUGAAUCACAAUCCGGGUCUGAAGAGAAUUUCCUGAAGCAAUAUUUGUCAGUACCCAAGCUGAUUCAAACUAUAAAGAUAAAAAUAAUUUUAUUAUCUUAUUAGCAUUUAAUAGCUUGUUUUUAGCUAUAACAAUAAGGUUUUCUGUACAUGAAGAAAAGAAUCUGAAAUCAUUAUUUGCACAUAAUCAGAUGGAUUCUGUAUUACUUUUAAAUGGAGAAUUCCAGUAGAAAUACUUCAGACUACAAGAAUAUUCAGGAGGUCAAAGUAGAACUGACAUAAGACCAUGAAUGGAAUGAGGGACUGCUUCAUAUGCUGACAUGAAUGAUCUCCCAAGAUACGAAUGAGAAGAAAAGUGUAACGGUGUAUAUUAAGACAGUAUCAUACUAUAUUUUCUAAAAGGGUUAAGAAGGAAUAUAUGCAUUAGUUUAGUUAUUGCACAGAAUAUCUCUGGAAGGAUACUAUAAGAAACUGUAAGAAGUAAGUACUUGUUACCUACAUGGAAAGGCAGGGGUGAAAGGGAAAUCUCAUAAAACCUUAUGUACCUUUUGGAUUAAACCAUGUAUAUUAUCUAACAAAAAAUAAAAGUAAAUAAUUUCUAUAGGAUAAGCAAAGUGUAAAGGGGAGAGGAUGUUAAUGUAAAAUGUGCCAGAUAUAGGCACAGUAAAAAAGGCAAAAGAUAUUUUAAGUAAUAAGUAGGCCAAAAGGAGUUAACUGGUAUACAAUUAAUAGAAAUGGCAACUUCAGAGCGUUAAGAGCUUCUGACAAAUGAGAAGCCUCCAAACAAAGGCACAGAGUUUAAAACUUUUUUUAGAGAGCAUUCUUAAAGUUAGGUAAACUGAAGAUAUGAAGGAAAUUAUAGCCAACAAAAAGUACAGCAUUUUACUAAUCUGCCCAUCUCUGUAGUAAUUUGACUCUCUGGCCUAAUAUGGAGAAAUCCAAGAAUGACUCCUGAAAUUCUAUUUAAGAGUUCUUAUUAAACUUUAGUUUUCUUUCCUUCUCCUGUUCUGUCUUCUACUUAUCCUUAAAUGAAGCACAUAUGCAAAAAAAAAAAAUCAGUGGUAUGUCCCUUGAAAGGGAGAGCAAAAAAGUCAUUGAAAGGUGGAGCUGUGACUCUUCUAAAGCUUUUGGGUCAACUGAAAGGCAGUUGUCAUAUGGAAAACUAAAUCAUCCAUCAUUGGGGUUUGGGGAAGGAGGCAGAAGACAAGGAAGACAAUCUGAUUGGCAUAGUCCAAAGCCAUGUGAAUGCUAGCAAAUUCACAGCAGAACACACUUAAAGGAGACAUUACAAGAAACCUAUAAAUGUGACAUACGCAAGUGAGACACAGUAUAGUCUAGUAGCCUAACGGGACAAUGAUAUUACAGUAAGCAGAAGGCCCAGACUAGGAGCACCACAGUUAAAGGGACAAUAUUUUCUUUUUGGUAACUUUGUUAUAAGAGAAGUUCAACAGAUUCCUAAACACUUGAACAUCACAAAAUAAAAAUCCCAUCAUAUAUCAUCACCUCCAUAAUUAAAUCACUCUUGAAACCAGUGCUGAAUUGAAACUUUGCAUUUGUUCAGUACUUUGUAUUAUGAAAGCAUUACUCACAUACUCCUGUGUUCCUCACAACAUCCCAGAGAAUUCUGGCUUUUGUGGUUUAUGAAUGAGAAAACUAUCAGAAAAAGGUCCAACAAUCUAAUGAUCUGCGUAAUGUUACACAGCCAUUCAAAGAGGACUUGAUUACUGUCUCCUGAUCAAGUAUGCUUAUGAAGCCCGGCCACUCCCUUCUCUCUGACACAUAACUGUAACACUGACAAUAAUCUUUCAAUUGCUUGGAGUUUUGGUAUCUAGGGCAAGAAAUUUCAAAUAACAGUAUGCCAGAGAUACACGCCAGAUUAUUUAGGGGAUGCUAAAAAAGAGAACGGUUCACCUAGUUUCUUCUGCUUUCUAGGAAAACUAACUAGCAGAGUUAAAAUUGAUUAAGAGAGACAGAUGAUGUGAAUACAAAAGCCAAAAGCAAGCCUUCCUACCAGGCAGCAAGCUCCAAGUUUAACAAAGAGUUGUCAGAUACCACGGAGACCAGUCAAAGUAAUGAAAACUGUGAGGAAAAAGCAGUGUGUAGAGAAUGAGUAAGAUCAGCAUACAUACCGAUCCAUAUUAAAGAGAAAACAGACUGCAGUGAGAUUUUGAUGCAAAUGAAAUAACAGCAACCUAAGUAAAGGAUUAUUAAAGAAUUAUCAAUGAGAAAAAAAUCAGAAUACUAACUGCUGCAAAACUUCAAACUGCUAUCUGCCUGUUGAUGUUUAGUAUCAAAGGUCUUACAAGAAAUGAGAGGGAAUUUCAGAUGCUACUGAAGAGAAUGAAAUGGAGAAGCAAAACAAAAUAGAGUGAAAAUGAUUAGAAAAAUGGGGAAUAAGUGAAUAACAGGCUAAACACAGAUGGGAGAAAAUUGGCAAUUAGGAUAUCUCAGCAAAAGAAGAACGUACCAGAAUUACCUUUAUUACUAAGAAGUACACAAUAAUGAUAACCUCUGAAAGCAAAAUUCAAGGCCUCCCUUGGUAAGAAGAGAAAUCGGAAAAUACCAGGGACAGAGACAGAUGAAGAUGAUCAACAGAACCAGAGGGGCGACUGAAAAUUGUGUUUGUACAUGAAUAAAGCAUUCUCUCUCUCUC